rnacentral:rRNA from 1 species
GAUGAACGCUGGCGGCGUGCCUAAUACAUGCAAGUCGAGCGAACAGAUGAGGAGCUUGCUCCUCUGACGUUAGCGGCGGACGGGUGAGUAACACGUGGAUAACCUACCUAUAAGACUGGGAUAACUUCGGGAAACCGGAGCUAAUACCGGAUAAUAUAUUGAACCGCAUGGUUCAAUAGUGAAAGACGGUUUUGCUGUCACUUAUAGAUGGAUCCGCGCCGCAUUAGCUAGUUGGUAAGGUAACGGCUUACCAAGGCAACGAUGCGUAGCCGACCUGAGAGGGUGAUCGGCCACACUGGAACUGAGACACGGUCCAGACUCCUACGGGAGGCAGCAGUAGGGAAUCUGCCGCAAUGGGCGAAAGCCUGACGGAGCAACGCCGCGUGAGUGAUGGAGGUCUUCGGAUCGUAAAACUCUGUUAUUAGGGAAGAACAAAUGUGUAAGUAACUAUGCACGUCUUGACGGUACCUAAUCAGAAAGCCACGGCUAACUACGG